AGCUCUGAGGACAAUAACUCUGUAACACCUGUCACUUCACUAAUCAUCGCAGUUGAUUCAGCUGACGUGGCUAGUCAGCAGAUGUCUCCUUCAUCCCUCACAGCUCAUAACCAUUUCUAAAACCUCAGGUUAAAAAAAAAGCCCUUUCCAGAGGAAUUAUUCUGAAGUCAAGGAGAGAGUGCCUGUGGUAGAUUAAAGAUGACUGCAAAUACUUAUUUCUCCAAUUCAGAGGUGGAAUCGAA
rnacentral:sRNA from 1 species